rnacentral:rRNA from 1 species
AGCGAACGCUGGCGGCAGGCCUAACACAUGCAAGUCGAACGAACCCUUCGGGGUUAGUGGCGGACGGGUGAGUAACACGUGGGAACGUGCCUUUAGGUUCGGAAUAACUCAGGGAAACUUGUGCUAAUACCGAAUGUGCCCUUCGGGGGAAAGAUUUAUCGCCUUUAGAGCGGCCCGCGUCUGAUUAGCUAGUUGGUGAGGUAAUGGCUCACCAAGGCUACGAUCAGUAGCUGGUCUGAGAGGAUGACCAGCCACAUUGGGUCUGAGAGACGGCCCAAACUCCUACGGGAGGCAGCAGUGGGGAAUCUUGCGCAAUGGGCGAAAGCCUGACGCGGCCAUCCCGCGUGGAUGAUGAAGGUCUUAGGAUUGUAAAAUCCUUUCACCGGUGAAGAUAAUGACUGUAGCCGGAGAAGAAGCCCCGGCUAACUUCGUGCCAGCAGCCGCCGUAACAC